rnacentral:misc_RNA from 1 species
GAUGAAGAACGUAGCGAAAUGCGAUAAGUAAUGUGAAUUGCAGAAUUCAGUGAAUCAUCGAAUCUUUGAACGCACCUUGCGCCCUUUGGCCAUUCCGAAGGGCAUGCCUGUUUGAGUAUCAUGAACACCUCAACUCUCAUGGCUCGCCAUGAUGAGCUUGGAUUUGGGGGUCUUGCUGGCCUGUGGUCGGCUCCUCUCAAAUGGAUCAGCUUGCCAGUGUUUGGUGGCAUCACAGGUGUGAUAACUAUCUUCGCUUGUGGUUUUCCAUCAGAUAACCUUCAGUGAUGGAGGUUCGCUGGAGCUCAUAAACGUCUCCCCUAAGCGGGGACAGCCCUUUGAAUGUUUGAUCUCAAAUCAGGUAGGACUACCCGCUGAACUUAAGCAUAUCAAUAAGCGGAGGA